rnacentral:rRNA from 1 species
ACCAGUUGAUCCUGCUGGAGACUACUGCUAUUGGGGUCUGCUUAAGCCAUGCAAGUCUUCCUCCUUCGGGGGGAGGCGGAAAGCUCAGUAACACGUGGACAACCUGCCCUUUGGAAGGGAAUAACCCCGGGAAACUGGGACUAAUACCCUAUAGGUGAGGAGCUCUGGAAUGAACCUCGCUUAAAGAUUCGUCGCCUAAGGAUGGGUCUGCGGCGGAUUAGGUUGAUGUUAGGGUAAUGGCCUAACAUGCCUACGAUCCGUACCGGCUAUGAGAGUAGGAGCCGGGAGAUGGAUACUGAGACAACGAUCCAGGCCCUACGGGGUGCAGCAGGCGCGAAACCUCUGCAAUGCACGCAAGUGUGACAGGGGGACCCCAAGUGUCCAGGUACUACCUGGACUUUUACAGAGUGUAAAAAGCUUUGGGAAUAAGGGCUGGGUAAGACCGGUGCCAGCCUCCGCGGUAAAACCGGCAGCUCUAGUGGUAGUCGCGUUUAUUGGGCUUAAAGCAUCCGUAGCCUGUUUGGAAAGUCCCCUGUGAAAUCUUAUCGCUUAACGUUAAGAAUUGCAGAGGAUACUUCCAGGCUUGGAGCCGGUAGGGGUCAAGGGCAUUCCUGGGGUAGCGGUGAAAUGUUAUAAUCUCAGGAGGGUCACCAAUGGCGAAGGCACUUGACUAGAACGGGCUCGACGGUGAGGGAUGUAAGCUAGGGGAGCAAACGGGAUUAGAUACCCCGGUAGUCCUAGCCGUAAACGAUGCGGACUAAGUGUUCCAUGAGCGUCAGGCUCAUGGAGUGUUGAAGGGAAACCGUUAAGUCCGCCGCCUGGGAACUACGGUCGCAAGGCUGAAACUUAAAGGAAUUGGCGGGGGAGCACCACAAGGGGUGGAGUCUGCGGUUUAAUCGGAUAAAACGCCGAGAAACUUACCAAGGGCGACGGCAGGAUGAAGGUCAAGUUAAUGACUUUACCAGACAAGCCGAGAGGUAGUGCAUGGCCGCCGUCAGCUCGUACCGUGAGACGUACUCUUAAGUGAGCUAACGAGCGAGACCCGUGCCUCUAUUUGCUAAUGUCCUCGAUGGGGGGCGUGCACUAUAGAGGGACCGCUGGCGAUGAGUCAGAGGAAGGAGCGGUCGACGGUAGGUCUGUAUGCUCCGAAUCUCUUGGGCUACACGUGGACUACAAUGGUAUGGACAAUGGGUUGCAACUCCGAGAGGAGCGAGCUAAUCCCCAAACCAUGCCUCAGUUCGGAUUGAGCCUUGCAACUCAGGCUCAUGAAGUUGAAAUCCCUAGUAAUCGCUCUUUACCAUAGAGCGAUGAAUAUGUCCCCGCUCCUUGCACACACCGCCCGUCAAACCAACCGAGUGAAUUUAGGAUAAGGUUCUCUCACUGGAAAAAUCGAAUUCUAGGUUCGCGAGGGGGGUUAAGUCGUAACAAGGUA